AGUGAACGCUGGCGGUAGGCCUAACACAUGCAAGUCGAACGGCAGCACAGUAAGAGCUUGCUCUUACGGGUGGCGAGUGGCGGACGGGUGAGGAAUACAUCGGAAUCUACUUUUUCGUGGGGGAUAACGUAGGGAAACUUACGCUAAUACCGCAUACGACCUACGGGUGAAAGCAGGGGAUCUUCGGACCUUGCGCGAUUGGAUGAGCCGAUGUCGGAUUAGCUAGUUGGCGGGGUAAAGGCCCACCAAGGCGACGAUCCGUAGCUGGUCUGAGAGGAUGAUCAGCCACACUGGAACUGAGACACGGUCCAGACUCCUACGGGAGGCAGCAGUGGGGAAUAUUGGACAAUGGGCGCAAGCCUGAUCCAGCCAUACCGCGUGGGUGAAGAAGGCCUUCGGGUUGUAAAGCCCUUUUGUUGGGAAAGAAAAGCAGCAGGUUAAUACCCCGCUGUUCUGACGGUACCCAAAGAAUAAGCAUCGGCUAACUUCGUG
rnacentral:rRNA from 1 species